UACGUAGGUGGCAAGCGUUGUCCGGAUUUAUUGGGUUUAAAGGGUGCGUAGGCGGCCUAUUAAGUCAGUGGUGAAAUAUUUCAGCUCAACUGGAAUUGUGCCAUUGAUACUGAUGGGCUUGAGUACAGAUGAGGUAGGCGGAAUUGACGGUGUAGCGGUGAAAUGCUUAGAUAUCGUCAAGAACACCUAUAGCGAAGGCAGCUUACUAGGCUGUAACUGACGCUGAGGCACGGAAGUGUGGGGAUCAAACAGG
rnacentral:rRNA from 1 species